rnacentral:rRNA from 1 species
UUGAACGCUGGCGGCGUGCUUAACACAUGCAAGUCGAACGAAGCACUUUGGAACGAUUCUUCGGAUGAGUGAAAGAGUGACUGAGUGGCGGACGGGUGAGUAACGCGUGGGCAACCUACCUCAUACAAGGGGAUAACAGUUAGAAAUGACUGCUAAUACCGUAUAAGCUUACGAGACCGCAUGGUCAAGUAAGAAAAACUCCGGUGGUAUGAGAUGGGCCCGCGUCUGAUUAGCUAGUUGGUGAGGUAACGGCUCACCAAGGCGACGAUCAGUAGCCGACCUGAGAGGGUGAUCGGCCACAUUGGGACUGAGACACGGCCCAAACUCCUACGGGAGGCAGCAGUGGGGAAUAUUGCACAAUGGGGGAAACCCUGAUGCAGCGACGCCGCGUGAAGGAUGAAGUAUUUCGGUAUGUAAACUUCUAUCAGCAGGGAAGAAAAUGACGGUACCUGACUAAGAAGCCCCGGCUAACUACGUGCCAGCAGCCGCGGUAAUACGUAGGGGGCAAGCGUUAUCCGGAUUUACUGGGUGUAAAGGGAGCGUAGACGGUUGUGUAAGUCAGAUGUGAAAGCCCGGGGCUCAACCCCGGGACUGCAUUUGAAACUGUGCAACUAGAGUGUUGGAGAGGCAAGUGGAAUUCCUAGUGUAGCGGUGAAAUGCGUAGA